rnacentral:rRNA from 1 species
CUUCCGCCGGCGACCGGCGCACGGGUGAGUAACACGUAUGCAACCUGCCCCUGUCAGGGGGACAACCCGCCGAAAGGCGGGCUAAACCCGCGUACAUGCCACCGGGGCAUCCCGGAGGCAGGAAAGGCUUCGGCCGGACAGGGAUGGGCAUGUGGCGCAUUAGGCAGUAGGCGGGGUAACGGCCCACCUAACCGACGAUGCGUAGGGGUUCUGAGAGGAAGGUCCCCCACACUGGUACUGAGACACGGACCAGACUCCUACGGGAGGCAGCAG